CAAAUGGAGAAGAGAUGAAGUAAGGUGAUGAAUGACUGUGAAAAUGUGCUUCUCUGGAGAGCUCCUCGCUCCUCAUCAGGAGGGAGAGGAGCUGGAGAAGAUCAAUGGCUUUCAGCAGUUGAAGUGAUUCUCCCGUGUUGGCCGGCUGCUUUAACCACCCGUGUUUCCUCGGAGCUGUCAGAUGGAGCGAGAGGUCUUAUUGUUCAGAGAUGACACAGAGUGAAUCCAUCGCUGUUCGACCUGAUCCAGUCCUAUAAGGGGAGAUGAAUUGCAGUGGUUCAUAUAAUCAACAGAGUCAAACUUUCUAUAACACCCUGGCACGUUUUGAGAAACUCAGCUCGUAUGGACUCUGGCAGUGCAGAAAUUGCUUCGUGAGCGUCUUGUGCGAUUGUUAAGGCGGCGCGCGGUCUGGGCUUUGCUCGUCAAUCACCUCAGCACCCCUCCUUUGAGCUCAAGGGCUCCAGCGGGAGAGCUAAAUUGGCUCUAGCAUCAUCACCGCUGCUGUCGCCGUCUUCGCUGAAGAGUUUUUUUGGACAAGACCUUUUUUUUAUUUUUAUUUUUUUUGCUCGUGGUGCAGAAAGCCAGGCUGUCUUGUGUCAUCC
ensembl:lncRNA